GCCAGUGUAGCUUAGUGGUUUGAGUGUUGGACUAUGACUCCAGAAACAAGGGUUCAAUUCCAAGCUUGAUCA